UACGAAGGGGGCUAGCGUUGUUCGGAAUCACUGGGCGGAAAGCGCACGUAGGCGGAUCGUUAAGUCGGGGGUGAAAUCCCAGGGCUCAACCCUGGAACUGCCUUCGAUACUGGCGAUCUUCGAGUCCGGGAGAGGUGAGUGGAACUCCGAGUGUAGAGGUGAAAUUCGUAGAUAUUCGGAAGAACACCAGUGGCGAAGGCGGCUCACUGGCCCGGUACUGACGCUGAGGUGCGAAAGCGUGGGGAGCAAACAGG
rnacentral:rRNA from 1 species